UUAAUUUGCUUGCCAGUCAUUCACUAGGAUUGAAUCAUUGUUUCUUUGUUUCUUUUUUUUUCCAUCAACCAAGAGAGUUACACAGUGAGUACUGGCUUCAACUACAUACUACAUUAAACAUUUUCAGAUGUGAAAUGAUUAAAUUUCCAGUUCUCGUUUUUAGUUUUUGGUGUUUUUUUAUAUGGAUUUCCUUAGCCACUUUUAUAUACCCCAAGUGGAAUUUCUAAUAUGCUUGAAGAAAGAUCUAAGAAGACCAAUGCCUUAGAAAAAAUAUUUCUAAACAAAUAUGUUCCAAAGAGUGACCAUUUAUUGUUUUUGUCAUGUUGACUGCCCAAUGAAUAUCUUUGAUGUAUUUCUUAUAACAACUUGUUACUAGAUAUUCCAUUAAGAACAUUUUAUCUCUCAAUUCCCUGACUUCCUUUGUGCUUUGUAGACUGGAAGUGAUGUUAGAGAGAAGGGAUAUUUUGCUGCUUGGAAUUCCACUGCCACCCCCAAAGAAGUGCUGUUUUCGUCACUUGUAUGAGCUCCUUUCUCUGGGAAAAUUCACAGCAUUGCUUUCUAGAGACUGACAUGUUCCAAAAACUAGGUUUCAUAUGAAUGAACUUAUUCCUUCCCCUUGAGAUGAGACAUAAAGAAAAAUGUUAGGAAUAAUUCUGCCUCCAUCCUCAAAGGCCUGUGUGAAUUCUCACAAAGAAGAUGACUUCCUGGGAGCUCUUUUGAGCAUGAAUGAUACCAGUAAACCCCUGAAGGAAGACUCUCAGACAGAGCCCUUUUGCCUCCCUCUUGUCUGAGGGCUGCCCUCUGAAGGUGAUGACCACAGAGACAAGGUGGAUUUGUUACUGUAGGUGCCAUUACUUCUGCCACCAGCUUCUCCAGUACAGUGACAGUCAUCUUUGUGCAUGGAAACUCUGCUCUUUCCUGUGUUGCAGUGGAUACCUCC
rnacentral:lncRNA from 1 species